UUCCAUAACUGUCAGUUUACUAAGAGGAA
rnacentral:piRNA from 1 species